AUGCACGCUGGCGGCGUGCUUCACCCCUGCAAGUCGAACGGAAAGGCCCAAGCUUGCUUGGGUACUCGAGUGGCGAACGGGUGAGUAACACGUGGGUGAUCUGCCCUGCACUUCGGGAUAAGCCUGGGAAACUGGGUCUAAUACCGGAUAGGACCACUUCUUGGAUGUUGUGGUGGAAAGUUUUUCGGUGUGGGAUGAGCUCGCGGCCUAUCAGCUUGUUGGUGGGGUAAUGGCCUACCAAGGCGUCGACGGGUAGCCGGCCUGAGAGGGUGUACGGCCACAUUGGGACUGAGAUACGGCCCAGACUCCUACGGGAGGCAGCAGUGGGGAAUAUUGCACAAUGGGCGCAAGCCUGAUGCAGCGACGCCGCGUGGGGGAUGACGGCCUUCGGGUUGUAAACUCCUUUCGCUAGGGACGAAGCUUAUUUUGUGACGGUACCUGGAGAAGAAGCACCGGCUAACUACGUG
rnacentral:rRNA from 1 species